rnacentral:rRNA from 1 species
GACGAACGCUGGCGGCGUGCUUAACACAUGCAAGUCGAACGGAAAGGCCCUGCUUUUGUGGGGCGCUCGAGUGGCGAACGGGUGAGUAACACGUGAGUAACCUGCCCUUGACUUUGGGAUAACUUCAGGAAACUGGGGCUAAUACCGGAUAGGAGCUCCUGCUGCAUGGUGGGGGAUGGAAAGUUUCGGCGGUUGGGGAUGGACUCGCGGCUUAUCAGCUUGUUGGUGGGGUAGUGGCUUACCAAGGCUUUGACGGGUAGCCGGCCUGAGAGGGUGACCGGCCACAUUGGGACUGAGAUACGGCCCAGACUCCUACGGGAGGCAGCAGUGGGGAAUAUUGCACAAUGGGCGGAAGCCUGAUGCAGCAACGCCGCGUGCGGGAUGACGGCCUUCGGGUUGUAAACCGCUUUCGCCUGUGACGAAGCGUGAGUGACGGUAAUGGGUAAAGAAGCACCGGCUAACUACGUG